rnacentral:rRNA from 1 species
UACGUAGGGGCGAGCGUUGUCCGGAAUUAUUGGGCGUAAAGCGCGCGCAGGCGGUCUUUUAAGUCUGAUGUGAAAUCUUACGGCUUAACCGUAAGCGGUCAUUGGAAACUGGGAGACUUGAGUGCAGAAGAGGAGAGUGGAAUUCCACGUGUAGCGGUGAGAUGCGUAGAGAUGUGGAGGAACACCAGUGGCGAAGGCGACACUCUGGUCUGUAACUGACGCUGAGGUGCGAAAGCGUGGGUAGCGAACAGGAUUAGAUACCCU